CAGCGUCUGAAGGCCUCACCUGGCCCACGCAGCUUUAAGGACCUCAACCACAGCGUCUGAAGGCCUCACCUGGCCCACGCAGCUUUAAGGACCUCAACCACAGCGUCUGAAGGCCUCACCUGGCCCACGCAGCUUUAAGGACCUCAACCACAGCGUCUGAGGCCUCACCUGGCCCACGCAGCUUUAAGGACCUCAACCACAGCGUCCUGAAGGCCUCACCUGGCCCACGCAGCUUUAAGGACCUCAACCACAGCGUCCUGAAGGCCUCACCUGGCCCACGCAGCUUUAAGGACCUCAACCACAGCGUCCUGAAGGCCUCACCUGGCCCACGCAGCUUUAAGGACCUCAACCACAGCGUCCUGAAGGCCUCACCUGGCCCACGCAGCUUUAAGGACCUCAACCACAGCGUCUUGAAGGCCUCACCUGGCCCACGCAGCCCUCCUUCUCCAGGGCCAGCUCCAGGAUGCGGACCGCCUGGGAAGGAGGGAACACAAGGUCCUCAGAUCCUGCACACUUCCUCCCUGCACCGUCUGGAGACUUGUGUUACCCCAAGUCGCUCUCGCAACACAACACCCCUACAGCAUGUGUGUGUGUGGGGGGGGGUAUUAGUUCCACAGGACCUUAAGUAGGAUGGGUCACUAGCAGCCAUGUGGAAAUGAAUCCUCUUUUUAAAUAGGAAAUUAAUUAUGCAUGAUGGUCAUACAAAUAUAUCAAAUUAUUACUGUCGUGUAUCAUUAUCAAUCUAAAAUUUACAAAUAAAUGUGGUUCCUCCAAGCCUUACACGAGCUGAUGUAACUGGGUACAGUUAGCCGUCUGAAUGCUCUAUGUCUAUUAAUGGAGAAAAUUACAACGAUUAAUUAAUUUCCUUCAUCCCUCAGUACCAGAUCACUCUUCAGCCUGUAGAUGGCGGCAAACUCCCCACUGCAGCCUACUGUGCAGACGCUCUUUAACUACAGCAUCGUCAGAGACUACCACACUGAAGAGAAUGAACUGCGCAAACUGACAGAUUUACGUCCCUGAGCCCUCCACAGUAAUGAGGUUCGGCCUGGGGGGCACAGCUUUGGCCACAGUGCAGGGCCUGACUUGGCUCAGCCAUCUUAAAGCAGUCAGCUCAGCAGACCGCCCUGCCACCAUGUGUCUAGCUGCUUUGUGAUCAAUGGUCGCAUCCUCUGGACCUGCGGCAUACGAUCAACAUCUCUGUUUAUCUGCUUCUAACGGCAACUCCCUUCCAUAAAGGUGCACUUUGUUUC